rnacentral:rRNA from 1 species
UACGAAGGGGGCUAGCGUUGUUCGGAAUUACUGGGCGUAAAGCGUGCGCAGGCGGCCAUCCAAGUCAGUGGUGAAAGCCCGGGGCUCAACCCCGGAACAGCCUUUAAGACUGCAUCGCUAGAAUCCGGGAGAGGUGAGUGGAAUUCCGAGUGUAGAGGUGAAAUUCGUAGAUAUUCGGAAGAACACCAGUGGCGAAGGCGGCUCACUGGACCGGCAUUGACGCUGAGGUGCGAAAGCGUGGGGAGCAAACAGG